rnacentral:snRNA from 1 species
UUGUUUUGGCAGCACUGUUACUAAAACUGGAACAACACAGAAGAAACCAGCAGGACCCCUGUGGAAGGAUGAGACAUUUGUGAAGGGUUCUUCCAAAUCCUU